ACCAAUGAGGAAUCUGAAGGAAGCCGUAGUCAAAUCUGCCAUCCGAGCUUGGUGCGAACCGCCGGAAGGCUGUGCGGAGAGGACGAGGUACCCUCGUCUGCCGAAGUCCGAUAUCCUUUCCGUAACCCGGCACAGCAGAAGAGGCGGAUGGGCAGGGAAAGCUGAUGAU
rfam:Desulfobacteraceae bacterium 4572_88 ex4572_88_scaffold_8425, whole genome shotgun sequence.